GUUGUGGCUCAAUGGUAGAGCGCUUGCCUAGCAUGCAUGAGGCACUGGGUUCAAUCCCUGGCAUUACA
rnacentral:tRNA from 1 species